AGGUAACCCUCAGCUACGGGCUGUUUGAGAACAAGAUGAACAGCAUUGAGCUGAAAGGGGUCUUUUCCAAGGACGAGGACCCUUCAAGAUUCAAGACCGUCCACUGUAGGCUGUACCCAUUCACGAGCUGGUGUCCGUGAACCUGAAAGAACUUCAACUCCCAGAAUCACCUGUGGUCAUUUACAGCCAUCUGAUUACGUUUUUGGACUCACUGAUGAAUUUAUCUUGAAGGACAUAUGAAUUCUGCUGAUGCUAAGCUAGGCUGAGCUGAGCUUGCUUAGAACUUGGGUUGAGCUCUUCCUUUGAACCCUUCCUUUCCAAGUGUCCUUAGUUUCGUAUGGCCUAAGGCAUCUCCAGGCCUCAGAUGUUGUUAAGAUCAAUAGGAUUUGGCCUUAUAAGAGACUCAAGGCAAAAAAAAUCCCUUAACUGGAACCCCCUUCAUCUGGAUGCAUAUUGGAGGACCAGUGCUUUCCCACAACCCCCCUGGGUUCUCUGAGGGGAAAAAAGGUCAAAGAGGCAGCUGUUCACAUUUCCAUUUUAUGCAUGUAAGAGUAAGAGAUUUAUGUAGAUCCUUGAAGGUGAGGACUCAAUGUAAUACAGCACUUUUUCAUUCGUUUGAUGAAUUUAUAUCAAAAUUUCAUUUAUUUGAUGUAUUGCUCAUAUUUUUUUUCCAUAUUGGAAUUGACACAGGGUUUUGUUUGAUGUAAUGUUUAAGAUGAACCUGAUUCAAGAGAUGAAUUCUUGAUGUUUUCUAAUUCUUGAUUUCUUGAAUUCUUGAUUCUUGAAUAUAUCCCUGUUCGGAGAGCAUUCGCCAUGUUACCAAAAUAGCCAACACUUUUAUAAAGGUCAUUUUACUGUCUUUUGACAUACACAGAAACACUGUGUAGAUAAUGUGCUUUUAUAAGUUUAUACGUUUAUUUGUCAGCAACCACUUUUUCCACAUGUAUUUCAUACACAUGUUCUCACUUCAAAACAAUAUACUGUAGCUGUGGUCGCUCCAGUUUGAAUCUGGCUGUUAUUAAACAAAACUCCUUUACAGUAUUGUUCAGCCUCAAGGCGUCAUGACACCAUGACAAACAAGCAGUUCUGACUAAAUAAAGACCCCAUCAAGAAAAACAA